rnacentral:rRNA from 1 species
GACGAACGCUGGCGGCGGGCUUAACACAUGCAAGUCGAACGGAAAGGCCCUGCUUUUGUGGGGUGCUCGAGUGGCGAACGGGUGAGUAACACGUGAGUAACCUGCACUUGACUUUGGGAUAACUUCAGGACACUGGGGCUAAUACCGGAUAGGAGCUCCUGCUGCAUGGUGGGGGUUGGAAAGUUUCGGCGGUUGGGGAUGGACUCGCGGCUUAUCAGCUUGUUGGUGGGGUAGUGGCUUACCAAGGCUUUGACGGGUAGCCGGCCUGAGAGGGUGACCGGCCACAUUGGGACUGAGAUGCGGCACAGACUCCUACGGGAGGCAACGGUGGGGAAUAUUGCACUAUGGGAGGAAGCCUGAUGUAGCAACGCCGCGUGCGGGAUGCCGGCCAUCGGGUUGUAAACCGCUUUCGCCUGUGACGAAGCGUGAGUGACGGUAAUGGGUGAAGAAGCACCGGCUAACUACGUG